rnacentral:rRNA from 1 species
UACGUAGGUGGCGAGCGUUGUCCGGAUUUACUGGGCGUAAAGAGCGCGCAGGCGGUCGUACAAGUCGCGUGUGAAAGCCCCCGGCUCAACUGGGGAGUGUCACGCGAUACUGUUCGACUCGAAGGCAGGAGAGGGAAGUGGAAUUCCCGGUGUAGUGGUGAAAUGCGUAGAUAUCGGGAGGAACACCAGUGGCGAAGGCGACUUCCUGGCCUGUUCUUGACGCUGAGGCGCGAAAGCUAGGGUAGCAAACGGG